UACGUAGGGUGCAAGCGUUGUCCGGAUUUAUUGGGCGUAAAGAGCGUGUAGGCGGCCAGGUAGGUCUGGUGUGAAAACUCGAGGCUUAACCUCGAGAUGUCAUCGGAAACCAUUUGGCUAGAGUCCGGAAGAGGAGAGUGGAAUUCCUGGUGUAGCGGUGAAAUGCGCAGAUAUCAGGAAGAACACCAAUGGCGAAAGCAGCUCUCUGGGACGGUACUGACGCUGAGACGCGAAAGCGUGGGGAGCGAACAGG
rnacentral:rRNA from 1 species